rnacentral:lncRNA from 1 species
CUAUUCAUCUGAUGGGUGACUCUCAGGUUUGGCCUCUCAUUUUCCAGGGAAGGCCUGGCAGUCUCUAAGGAGACAGCUAACACCUGAGAAAAGAAAAGAAGCAAGUAGCUCAUGCUUUAGGACUCCCGUCAUCCGAAGGCUGAGAGAGCCCAGUGGAAGAACUCCACGAUAAUAACUCCUGGCUGUAGAAUCUACCCACUGUGGGUCUGUAAGAUGAAAAGAGUGGGACUUGAGAAACGAGACAAGAAAAUAAGAAAAGGGCUUAACAAAUACUGUAACUGCAAACCAUUUACUCAGACAAAACUCCUCUCUUAUCCUAGAGACCAGAAAGGAAGUAACUCCGCUCUCUGGAACUCCAGGAUAGGGAGGCACCUUGGCCUACAUGUUCACUAGGAGGAGCCUGCAAAUGGCACCUUCCCACACCCAUGUGAGUCAGCAGAAAACCGGCCUCUCAUACAGUGCCUCCUCCCCACACCCCCUGCCCCGGGACUGCAGGAAGAGAAGAGAAGAGAAGAGAAGAGAAGAGAAGAGAAGAGAAGAGAAGAGAAGAGAAGAGAAGAGAAGAGAAGAGAAGAGAAGAAAGAAAGAAAGAAAGAAAAAAAAAAAGAAAAGAAAAGAAAAGAAAAGAAAAAAAAGAAAAGAAUACCUAUCUUUAAAAGGGUACCAUGGGGUAUGUAAUGGUAUGUGCCUGUAAUCCCAGCACUCUGGGAGACGGAGGCAGGAAGAUUGCGAGUUCAAGCCCAGCUGAGCAAUUUAGUGAGACCCUGUCUCAAAAUAAAAAAAAAUAGCAUAUGGAUGUAGCUCAGUGUGGAGACCCUGGGUUCAACCCCCAGUAUCACCAAAAAAAAAAAAAGCUUAUAACCAUGAGCUGAUAUUUUUGCAGACUGUCAACCUACCAAAGGUCUGCAAUUUUUUUCCUUUUUUUUUUUUUUUUUUGGCUUUUUGAGACAGGGUUUCACUAUGCAGUUCAAGCUGUCCUUGAACUCACCGGGCUGGCCUUGAACUCAUAGCCAUCCUCCUGCCUCAGCCUCCCGAGUGCUGGGAUUACAGGCAUGUACCACCAAGCCCACCUGCAAUAUUGAUGUGGUUCAAAAAUUUAAACUAUGGUUUAAAAUAGAACUGCAUGAAAAUAAUGAUGAAAAAUAGGGAAAAGGAUACAGAAAGGGGACUGGAGAACAAUGAAGGUAGACACAAUUUCUGUCACGCCUCGGCCACAUUGAAAUGCUCCCAGCUCUUCACAGUGAAUGAAUCCAUGCACACCUUCUCCUCUUUGCAACAGCCAUGGCCACCACUGUUCCAGAGGCUCUCAAGAGUCAGUUAGCCCAGGUUCAAAUCCUGACUCUGCCACUCACUAGCUAAGGGUCUUUGAGCAAGCUAUUUCAUCUCUCUGGCUGUUUUCCUCUUCUGAAAAACAGGGAUGACCCCAGUUCUUCCUGAGGCUGAUUGUGAAACUUUGAAUUUUAACGUACAUGGACUAUUUAGUAGAAUAUCUAGGACAAGCCGGGCAUGGUGGCACAUGAUUCUAAUCCCAGAACUUGGGAGGCUGAGGCAGGAGGAUCAUUGCAAGUUUGAGACCAGCCUGGGCUACAAAGUGAGCUAAAAGCCCGCCUGAAGUGCACAGCAAGAUCCUGUCACAAAAAAAAAAAAAAAAAAAAAGAAAGAAAGAAUAUCUAGGACAUGCUUCCUAGUUCAUAGGAAAUAAUUGCAUGGUGACAGGGAAGUCCUAAAGAUGAUGACAGUUUUCUUAAUGCAGGUAAAAUAUUGCCUCUUCUCUAAGUCUUCUCUGCCUCCUGGCACUACAAAACUUUAUAUAUACCUCAUCCUGGACUGCUUAUUACAUUUCAUUGCAAUCAUGUAUUGACAGUUUUAUCUUCCCCUUGGAACUAUAAGUUAUUUGAUGGUGGAGACUAAAUCUUAUUUGUUGUAACACCUGUUGCUAGUACAGAGCUUGACACAUAAUAGAUGCUUAGUAAGUGUUUGGUGAUAUUUGUGUGGAUUAAUGACUUUACUUCCCUUAAUGGAAUAAUUUUUUCUAUAAGCAAUUUCUUGCUGUUGUCUUUGGUUCCUUACCCCUUAUUCUGUUCCCACUUUAAGGCACAAACAUCAAAUACUGGCCUCUCACUUGAAAUGUGUCUCUGGAAUGUACAUUUCCUAAGAAAACAGCCCUAGUAUCUUAUCUGCCUGAUUUCACUCUGCAUGGGCCAUGAGUGUCAGGAAAAUGACUACACCACCAUAAAAAUGACAUUGGCAAACAGACUGGGCCGAUGAGUCAUGAGAUCGGUAACCAAGAAAUAUUCACACAAUUCUUCCGGCUUAUGUGGGAACAUGGGUUUGAAUUGACUUCCUGGUUCUGUUGUAUUCAUGGGAAGAACACUGCACUGGGGUCAGCAGACUGACAUUUAGGUCCCAGAUUCACUGCUUCUUUGUUACAUGCCCUUGG